GUUAAAAUUAUUGAAUUGGUCAAUGGGAUUUUAUGGUUUCAAGAUUGGUCAAUUUGACUUCAAUUUAUUUCUUUUCUUCUUAUCAGUUGUCGUAGAACACCCACUCACCCAUGGUGCAUAUUUUACAUAUUUACACAAUAUGCAUUUAUAGUAUGUUCGUCGUAUGUGUGUGUAACAUUUAAAGGUAAUUAUUAUCGUUGUGUCAUAAGUGAAUUGAAAUUUUUCUAUCUUGUUUAAUCUGUAAUUAUUUAAAAGUUUUUUACAAUUUGUAAAAUUGUGAUAGACUUCUCAAGUGCAUUGGUCUGUAGAAUAGUUUUUCCAUUUGACAAAGUUCAUAGUUUUGCUGUCAGAUGUUUCAAAUAUAUUUUCGAUUUCAUAUUGAUUAUCAGCAACACCUUUAAUCUGUAUACACUGUGAUAAUUUGUUUUGAAAAUCAAGAUUUGAACAUCUGCAACGUGAAUUUCGCCAGAACAGUAAUGAAUAAAUUGAACUGGAAAAAUCAGUCUAUUAGUUACACAUUACGUUUACAGUCGACACCUCUUACAAGACUCCCGGUUAUAAGUUCCAACUGCUUAUUAGACUCACCACCUGGAACUGUCGGGAUGUAUACAAAUAUAUAAAAAAACAUUUGGUUUUAAGACUCAAAUUUCGUAAGAAAUAUAUUGUUGAAAAUAAAUAUUAUUAAUAAACACUAAUUAAAUGUACAAAUAAAUGUUUGGUAUUACUUAUUACAGGUUUCUAAUCACAUCAGUCUAUCACAAAUGAAGCUACCAGCAACAAUAAAAGGGAGAAUGAAAAAAGUGACGAGUAGGUUGAACCACUAUCAAACAAAGUUCUAGAGACCCUUGAUAUGUUGAAGAGAGCUGUUCAUCACUGAGGUACUAAUUUUAAAAAACAUGAGUACGAGCAACAUAUUUCCAGAAUAGUUGGAAAUAAUAAAAAGAAACUAAAAUCACAUAUUUUUGUUUAAUACACAAAUAGGUAAUAAUAUACAGUGUUAUGCCUAUCCAAAUUGCCACCUGUGUCAGAAAACUUUACUAAUGAGCAAAAAAAAAGGUCCAACCUGUCCGUUAGGCGUAAAAAUAUUCAAUUGCAAAACUUUAAAAAUUCUCAAAGGCCCCCUCUCUGUCUUUCACUUCUAUGGCAUUCCUUAGGCACGGCCCUGUGUAUAUAUGUAGGUAGGGUCAUGAGGAUGAAUUAGUUAAUAAUUAAUGUUAAGCU